rnacentral:rRNA from 1 species
AGCGAACGCUGGCGGCAGGCCUAACACAUGCAAGUCGAGCGCCGUAGCAAUACGGAGCGGCAGACGGGAGAGUAACACGUGGGAACGUACCCUUUGGUUCGGAACAACCCAGGGAAACUUGGGCUAAUACCGGAUAAGCCCUUACGUGGAAAGAUUUAUCGCCGAAGGAUCGGCCCGCGUCUGAUUAGCUAGUUGGUGGGGUAACGGCCCACCAAGGCGACGAUCAGUAGCUGGUCUGAGAGGAUGAUCAGCCUCACGGGGACUGAGACACAGCACAGACUCCUACGGGAGGCAGCAGUGGGGAAUAUUGGACAAUGGGCGCAAGCCUGAUCCAGCCAUGCCGCGUGGGUGAUGAAGGCCCUAGGGUUGUAAAGCCCUUUCGGCGGGGAAGAUAAUGACGGUACCCGCAGAAGAAGCCCCGGCUAACUUCGUGCCAGCCGCCGCCGCGGUAA